GAGUCCCGCUCUGUCACCCAGGGGCUAGAGUUCAGUAGCAUGAUCUCGGCUCACUGUAACCUCCACCUCCCAGGUUCCAGCCAUUCUCCUGCCUCAGCCUCCCGAGUAGCUGGGAUUACAGGCGUGCACCACCACACCCAACUAAUUCUUGUAUUUUUAGUGGAGACAGGGUUUCACCAUGUUGGCCAGGCCGAUCUCAAACUCCCGACCUCAAGUGAUCCGCCCGCCUCGGCCUCCCAAAGUGUUGGGAUUACAGGCAUGAGCCACCACACCCGGCCAUGCUUUUUGUACUGUGGUAAAUAUACAUACCAUAAAGUUUUAACCAUUUUUAAGUGUAAAUUUCAGUGACAUUAAAUACAUUCACAUUGUUGUGCAACCUCCAGCACCAUUUUCAGAACAUUUUUCAUCUUCCCAAGGUGAAAAUCUGCAUCCAUGAAGAAGUAACUUCCGAUUACCCAGUGAGUGCCCCAGUCCCUGGCAGCCACCUUUCUACUUCAUGUCUCUAGGAAGGUGAUGACUCAUGUAAGCGGAAUCAUACAGUAUUUGACCUUUUGUAUCUGGCUUAUUUCACUCAACACAUUGUCCUCCAGGUCCAUCCAUGUUGUAGCAUGUAUCAGAAUGUCCUUCCUUUUUAAGGUUGAAUCACAUUCCUUUGUGAUAUGUCACUUUUUUUUAUCCAUUCAUCUGUUGGUGGAUACUUGGUUUGUUUCCAUCCUUUGGUUAUUGUGAGUAAUGCUGCUAUGAACAUGGGUGUACAACUAUCUGUUUGACACUCUGCUUCCAAUUCAUCUGCAUAUGUAUUAGGAAGUAGAAUUGCUGGAUCAUAUGGUAA
rnacentral:lncRNA from 1 species